GGCCAAUGAUAUAGGGAAAAAUCUCCUCUGAUAGAGAAGACAGGAGCCAGGAAUGAAGCAUCUGAUCUCUCUUAAACCAAACGAAAUAUGCGGGGUUGGCAGUAGUAGUGGGUGGAUCAUUAUUGGUUACUGUUUCAGGUGGGGCUGGUUCACUACCACCAAUAAGACCCAUGAGAUUUUGGUAGUUAAGAAUAGGGAUGAAUUGAGCCUUCUAUGCUAGGUAAUUUAUGGUGUUUAAU
rnacentral:lncRNA from 1 species